UUCAAAGGAUUUUGAAUGAAUAAAACCUUAAGAAAAUUAUCAAAUGAUGCAAGCUUUUAAUGAUUUUGGUGCUCAUUAUGGAUUUGUUGUUUAAUCGUUGGGGCGAAUUUCUCUGUAGUAUCUUCUUUGACUUGGUCAAGGCAAAAAAUGGUGAUACUUUUUUGGGUGGUGAGGAUAUCCACAAUGCCUUGUUGCAAUAUUCAGUUAACGAGUUCAAGGUGUUGUCGACUCUCGCUUUACACUUGCACUUGCAUUUGCUUAAAAAUUUCCAUGACCUUUCAACUUAUCCAUUUUGUGGAUAUCCACAUUUAUGAUUUCAAAAACUUGUCCAUUUAGGGAAUUGUCAGCGAAUUUCUAAUUCUCUAAAUCAUUGUUAGCAAGUACUCUUGUAGUUGGUUUUGGUUUUCAGAACAUGAGAUAUUUUGCAUACGUGAUAUAAAGCCUUUAGAGGGAUAUGAUUUUUUGUUGUUUUCAUCUUGUAUUGUCAAAUUCAACUGGAUUUGUGAGCUUGGUUUCAAGCAAUUUAAUUGGGGCUCUUCUCACUUGAUUGAAUGUAGAGAUUUAAUUGAUAGGUUCCUCCUAUUUCCCUUCUUGUUUCACAAAAUUCAGUGCUGAAGUUUAUUUGGAUUUAGCUGAAGUUUAUUUGCAUUUAGCUGAAGUUGAGUGCUUUUUCUAUAGCUAUAAAUGGAUUUCAUUGCGGGUUGUGCACUCAUAGAUUAUGUUUUAGCUUGUUUUGAAUGCUAAUCUCCAAUCCCAAUGGGUGCAUGGAGAAGACGUAAAUGCUUAUAUGAACAUGGUGAGGCAAACAAAUUACCCCAGAGCAUUGGGGGAUAUUGGGAACCUUUUUAGUGCCCUCUCUACCAAAUGUACUAUUAGUGAAGGGGGAGUACUAGCAGCAGUAGGAAAGUAUGUGUUUCUCCAAUUUUGCUUCAUGCACCCAUUAAUUUUCUAAAAAAGUUCCACAUUUAUAUAAUAUAAUGUUUUCUUUAUUCUAUGCAUUUCAGGAAUAAUAUUGUAGCUGUUAAGAAUUCUUUUCAAGUGGAUCGUCCUGUAACUAGGACGAUGAUGAAUGUUGUGAAAUGGAAAUGGAGGUAGAGGGUCAAAUGCCUAAUAUUGAUGAGGCAGACAUGGACAAUCUAUUGGCUGUGACAAAUUAUGUCCGGGACAUUUAUAGAUUCUACCAUGAAAGAGAGGUGAGUUUUUGCUCUUCUUCUCUGCAUCACAUUCCCUAUAUAGCUUGUAUUAUAGGUAAACCAGGUCCAGCGCUUUGUUUUACUUUUUUAAGCCAUUUGAGUGAAGAAAGACAAGUACUUGAAACUCUUUCGACAGGCCAACUAAACCCUUUGUUUUAUUGGUAAAAAGUGUUAUUUUCUAAUAUUUUGGAUUGGUAUCUGGUUGCAAGUAAUUACCAAUAGUUUAAAACUCAUAACAGAUCAUUAGCUGCAUUCCUCCAUAAAAAA